CUAUCUCAUUCUUGCCUGUAACCAACAUAGGCGCAGUCUGCGCAGAGCAUCAUGGGAAGGUAGUUCACGGUCACGUGGUUCAAUCAAAUGCCAAGGUCAUGUUAGGAGAAAAUCUCACGAUCACGUGGUUGUCGUACAAUUUUGCUUUAAUCCCGAAAUAUGACAAGAUCCUCUUACCUUGAUGGGUCCAUUAACUUUUUAACGCCCCAGAUCUUAUUUUCAUUCUAUCCUACUAUAGCUUGUAAGAGGAUACUAAAUUUCAUUAUGAACCCAACUGUGGCAGUGACCAACCGGAGCAAGUAAAAAAUUGGCACAACCAUAAUUUGCCAAAUAAUAGACCAUUGAAGAUCCUUAGCUUACAAUACAACAUCUUCAGAGCAAUCUAAAUGAAUUUACAGGGUAUAGUAUAUAUAUAUUUAUAAUACAGCAUUUGUAAAUUCUGAACGCUGAUUGGCUAAGAGCCGUGUUGAUAUAACUCGAUGUCAACACGGGAAAUUUUCCGCCACUUGUAAACACGGAAAUUUUUCUUACCUUCCGGCUUUUGACAUUGCUAUAUUAUAAAAAAAAUAUAAAACAUUUUUUCCGUAUUGAUAUAUAGUUAUAUCAACACUCGUGGAAGUUGGGAAAACUCGAAAUGGUAUGAAAACACUCCGCCCUUCGGGC